UACAGAGGUCUCAAGCGUUGUUCGGAUUCAUUGGGCGUAAAGGGCGCGUAGGCGGCGGGGUAAGUCUGGUGUGAAAUCUCGGAGCUCAACUCCGAAAUUGCACUGGAUACUGCUCUGCUUGAGGGUUGGAGAGGAGAUCGGAAUUCACGGUGUAGCAGUGAAAUGCGUAGAUAUCGUGAGGAAGACCAGUGGCGAAGGCGGGUCUCUGGACAGUUCCUGACACUGAGACACGAAGGCCAGGGGAGCAAACGGGG
rnacentral:rRNA from 1 species